AACACGAGGAAGUGACCAUGUGCCCAGGUCUGCCCUGAGCCCGGCGGGUAUAUAGAGGCCCCCGGCCCAGGAGGCACCACACCUGAGCCCGUCUCCUCUCUCUGCACCUGCUCCUCUGACCGACUCCACCCUCCACUCACCAGAACCAUGAGCUGCUGUGGCUGUUCCGGAGGCUGUGGCUCCAGCUGUGGGGGCUGUGGCUCCAGCGGCUGUGUGCCUGUGUGCUGCUGCAAGCCCGUGUACUGCUGUGUGCCAGCCUGUGCCUGCUCCGGCUGUGGCAAAGGGGGCUGUGGCUCCUGCGGGGGCUCCAAGGGGGGCUGUGGCUCCUAUGGCUGCUCCCAGUCCAGCUGCUGCAAGCCUGUGUGCUGCUGUGUGCCAGCCUGUGCCUGCUCCGGCUGUGGCAAAGGGGGCAGUGGCUCCUGUGGGGGCUCCAAGGGGGGCUGUGGCUCCUGUGGCUGCUCCCAGUCCAGCUGCUGCAAGCCGGUGUGCUGCUGUGUGCCAGCCUCCUGUGCCUGCUCCAGCUGUGGCAAAGGGGGCUGUGGCUCCUGUGGGGGCUCCAAGGGGGGCUGCGGCUCCUGUGGCUGCUCCCAGUCCAGCUGCUGCAGGCCCGUGUGCUGCUGUGUGCCAGCCUGUGUCUGCUCCGGCUGUGGCAAAGGGGGCUGUGGCUCCUGUGGGGGCUCCAAGGGGGGCUGUGGCUCCUGUGGGGGCUCCAAGGGGGGCUGCGGCUCCUGUGGCUGCUCCCAGUCCAGCUGCUGCAGGCCCGUGUGCUGCUGUGUGCCAGCCUGUGCCUGCUCCAGCUGUGGCUCUUGUGGCUGCUGCAAGCCCAGCUGUUGCCAGUCCAGCUGUUGCCAACCCUGCUGUUCCCAGUCCAGCUGCUGUGUCCCCGUUUGCUGCCAGUGCAAGAUCUGAGCUGCUGACCACAGACCUCAUGAUGGGGAGGUGGUGCGGUGGCCACGGCUGCCUCAUCCAAGUGUCCCCCUUCGGCCGAUGUCCCCACCCUCUGUUUAACCUGGAUGCUGAGGCAUCUCUCAAUAAAGCCUUUCCCUAACCUCAGAGACCUGUCUUCUCACUCCUCCCGCUCCUGUCCUGCUCUAAGGACUGCUCUCUGUGCUUCCUGGGUGCUCUGUUUCGUGCCUCGGGGGGGACAUGCGGGGCUGAGCUGCCACGUACCCGGCGAGGCGGACGGCCAUGUGGGUGACUUUGCCCAAGACAGGCAGGGAGAGGUUAAUGGAGGAAAAUAGCAAAGGAAAACCGAGGGGCACGGCCAAGAGCAGUGGAAGGACCAACGUGCAAGUAACAGACGGGGAGGGCCACUCCGGGGAGAGAGAAAUAUUCGAGGAUAGUUGAGGGCAUUUUCCCCAGAAUGAAAGAAACGCUUUUUAAAAACCUUAUAUUAAGAGGGUUGAAGAAGCAGCUCGUUCCUGCCUAUGUGCUUCUGUAGCACGACUUCUCAAUUCUCCAGGGAGAAUGUGAACCAGAGGGCGGGGGAGACCAUGGGGGCGGCUCGGGUGCACGAGCGGGAGGAGGGCAGAUCCGCGGGAAAGGGCGCGUCCAGCCCGGCGCACCUGCCAACGUGCGGGGACAGCGGGAGGGCUAACGGGGCGCCUUCAGCAGACAAGGGCUCAGAAGAAUUGCCUCAAAAGUCCCGUGUGAGGACACCUUGUGAAGAAACCCUGAAGUGAUUGAAGAGGACUUUCCAGCAGGUCCUUGAACAGACGUGAUGAAACGGGAGGCAUCAGCUAUUUUACUAAAUUUAUUAUCUUUAAAAUACAAGAGCC
rnacentral:lncRNA from 1 species